rnacentral:rRNA from 1 species
UACAGAGGUCUCAAGCGUUGUUCGGAUUCAUUGGGCGUAAAGGGUGCGUAGGUGGCGUCGUAAGUCAGGUGUGAAAUUUCGGAGCUUAACUCCGAAACUGCAUUUGAUACUGCGGUGCUUGAGGACUGGAGAGGAGACUGGAAUUUACGGUGUAGCAGUGAAAUGCGUAGAUAUCGUAAGGAAGACCAGUGGCGAAGGCGGAUCUCUGGACAGUUACUGACACUGAGGCACGAAGGCCAGGGGAGCAAACGGG